rnacentral:tRNA from 3 species
CGGGAUGUAAUUCAGCGGUCUAGAAGCCUUGGUUUGGGACCAAGGAGUCGUGGGUUCAAAUCCUACCAUCCCGACCA